rnacentral:rRNA from 1 species
GACGAACGCUGGCGGCGUGCCUAAUACAUGCAAGUCGAACGCACAGUUUAUACCGUAGCUUGCUACACCAUACACUGUGAGUUGCGAACGGGUGAGUAACGCGUAGGUAACCUGCCUGGUAGCGGGGGAUAACUAUUGGAAACGAUAGCUAAUACCGCAUAAUAUUAAUUAUUGCAUGAUAAUUGAUUGAAAGAUGCAAUUGCAUCACUACCAGAUGGACCUGCGUUGUAUUAGCUAGUAGGUGAGGUAACGGCUCACCUAGGCGAAGAUACAUAGCCGACCUGGGAGGGGGAUCGGCCACACUGGGACUGAGACACGGCCCAGACUCCUACGGGAGGCAGCAGGAGGGAAUCUUCGGCAAUGGACGAAAGUCUGACCGAGCAACGGCGCGGGAGGGAAGAAGGGUUUCGGAUCGGAAAGAUCUGUUGUAAGGGAAGAACGGGUGGGAGAGUGGAAAGUUCACACUGUGACGGUACCUAACCAGAAAGGGACGGCUAACUACGUG